rnacentral:rRNA from 1 species
GACGAACGCUGGCGGCGUGCCUAAUACAUGCAAGUAGGACGCACAGCCUAUACCGUAGCUUGCUACACCAUAGGCUGUGAGUUGCGAACGGGUGAGUAACGCGUAGGUAACCUGCCUAUUAGAGGGGGAUAACUAUUGGAAACGAUAGCUAAUACCGCAUAACAGUAUGUAACACAUGUUAGAUGCUUGAAAGAUGCAAUUGCAUCGCUAGUAGAUGGACCUGCGUUGUAUUAGCUAGUAGGUAGGGUAAUGGCCUACCUAGGCAACGAUACAUAGCCGACCUGAGAGGGUGAUCGGCCACACUGGGACUGAGACACGGCCCAGGCUCCUACGGGAGGCAGCAGUAGGGAAUCUUCGGCGAUGGGGGGGACCCUGACCGAGCAACGCCGCGUGAGUGAAGAAGGUUUUCGGAUCGUAAAGCUCUGUUGUUAAGGAAGAACGAGUGUGAG